ensembl:lncRNA
GGAAGAGUUCUUGUCUGUUUUUCUCUGUAAGGCAAUUGGUCAGAGUCGGAUCUGUAAACUAAGUGACCACCCGUACGCUGCAUUCUUCUUGACCUACAAGCAGUUAUGAAUGAUUCCGUGACACUCCUCUGUCUCUUUCACGCUUACACACACACACACACACACACACACACACACACACACACUUACACACAUGCAAAAAACCCACAGUUCAUAUGCUAGCCAUCAAACCUUCAAUCCCCCAGAUGCUCCUUCACCGCAGUCUGUUUACGUGGUCAGAUGUGCUGCUCUGCCUCAGCUGACCUUCAGUAAAACCAGUGGUCACUUAUUUAUGUCUCAACCAGGAACACACUCCCUGACAAGCGGUCAUCAGCCAGCCACAAUCAAUAGGUUUCAGUUAAUAAGCUACUGUCUAUAUUCUUCAAGCAGUUCAAUCUGACCAGAGAGGCUCUUUUUAAGCCUCCCAACGUCAGCAAGCCUUAAGAGGAAUUCCAACCCACUGCCCUUUUCCCCUUUUUGAUUCAUUAACAGGGAGGCAACAUCCUUUUUUGUGUUUUGCUUUGAUUUAGGUGUCAAUGGUCAAGUCUAAAUAACCUAUGAUAAGACAAAUCCUUGCUCAUUGAACUUGAGGGGUUUUGAAGCUAAUAUGUUAGGGGUAGGUAUACAAUAAUGUCAUUAUAAAUCAUUAAAAACAAUCUAUGUAGCAUAAAUUGCUUAAUACAGUAUGUUUGUAAUGCACAGAUAAUGGCCUACAACAUCUCUACACAUUAACCCUUAUAUUAAAAAAGAUCUAACUCAACCUAGCUAGAAUAUCUUGUGGCUAGCUAGCUGCUAGUAAACUAGCUCAUAGGUAGACAAGAAUAUGGUUUUUAGUAGCAGAUUUUUUUAUUUUUAUUUUUUAUGAGUAGCCAAACAUGUACAAACAUGCCACAACACCCAAGAUUUUGUAAAUACUGUAACUAUUGUUAGCUAAGUCAGCUAGCUGACUAGUUACAGUAUCUGCUACUAAGAUAGCUAGCAUUUAUCACACUUUAGUGGCACUUUAGCAUCUAGGUCUCUCUGGGAUUUGUUUACCAGUAGCUAAGCCUGUAAAAAUACACUGUAACAUUUACUAAGCUAUCUAGCUUGCUAGCUUAGCAUGUAGGUCCUUAGUGUAGGGUAUUUUAGGGUUCUUGUUUUAGAGUACCUUAGGGUUCUUAGUUUAGUCUAGUUUAAAAUAGUUUAGAAUUCUUUGUUUACUUUCAAAUUCUUAAUUUAUAGUAGUUUAAGGUUUUUAGUUUAGUUUUUUAUUUUUAGUUUAGAGUAUUUUAGGUUUCUUAGCUGAAAGUAGUUUAGGGUUAUUAGUUUAAAGUAGUUAAAAAUGUGUAUGUUCAACCUUUAAUAUUUUGCAUUCCGGACAUCAUAGCAUAUUUCAAACUGAAUUACAUACAGUGUUCCUCAAAGCUGUCAAUGCUGAGAAAUGGUUUUUGUUAGUUUUUUUACUUAAAGUGUGCAUGUGUAAGCUAGCAUGGAUUUGGGUGGCCACUGAUUAUAAGCUUUGGCUGAGAAAUACAUCUGUGUUAUCUGUGCAUUUAAAUAACAUGACCUUGAUAUGGAGUCUGCCUGGCCAAAUUCUUGACAAUUCUCAGCCACUUUCCCCUUUAAUUAGAUGAUAAUCAGAGAGGUAAAAUGUUUAAGUGGUUCAUUUAAGAACUUGCAUUAUUAUAUGCAUAGGAAAUUACUGUAUAGUUGCAAAAUGACUCUUGAAGUCUAUGCCCAAGGUUGUUCACCCAACACAAAAGUGCACACUCAACACACUUCAAUUCAAUCAAACAUUCAAACAAACCUCCAAAUACGAGGUGGUACAUUUUUUCCCCCCACAAUGUUUUAAAUGCAGCAUGUUUGUGUUUUUGUCACAGGAUGGAAGAAUGUAGUUGCACGGUGGCAAAACCAAUCUUCCAGAGGGCUUCCCCCAUCUGAGGUCUGACACUGGCAGACCAAGUGCAACGCCCUGGCUUCGUCAUGUGUGUGUGAAGAGUGUUGCAUCUGCCCCUCAGGCACCCCAGCCCGUAGUGGCACUUGAGCCCCCCUUCUCUGUCUCACUCUUGGAGAUUAGAUACGGUCUCUGUACCUGCUGACGUAAACACUGGUGGUCAAAUGCACGCAAAGGCCACGGCUGUUGACAGGACGUGUCUGCCUCUGCUUUUGUAAGUAUCUGCUUCACAUGAUGGAUCUAGAGUCUAUCCUGGGAACACUGGGUAUGAGGCCUGAAUACACCCUGGCUGGGACACCAGACGAUUACAGGACAUGUUGUACACAUACAUUCACGCCAAGGACUAAUUUAUCUUAGCCAAUCCAUCUACUGGCAUGUUUUUGGGAGCCCACAGACAUGAAGAGAACAUGCACAGAAACUCCACACAGACAGUAAUCCCAGCUCAGAAGCAAACCAGAGACUCUGGAUCUGUGAGGCAGCAAUGCUACCCAAUGCUCCACCAUGC